ACUGGUUCUCGUUUGAUCACCAAAGUUAAGCAUCGUAGAGCCAGGUCAGUACUUAGAUGGGGGACCACUUGGGAACACCUGGUACUGUAAGC